rnacentral:rRNA from 1 species
CGGGGGAUACUGUUCGGCUUGGGGGUGAGAGAGGCCAACGGUAUUUCCGGGGUAGGGGUGAAAUCCUAUAAUCCCGGGAGGACCACCAGUGGCGAAGGCUGUUGGCUAGAUCAUGCCCGACGGUGAGGGAUGAAAGCUUGGGGAGCGAACCGGAUUAGAUACCGGGUAGUCAAGCUGUAAACGAUGCAGGCUAGGUGUUAGGGCGGCCACGUGCCGCUCUAGUGCCGCAGGGAAGCUGUUAAGCCUGCCGCCUGGGGAGUACGGCUGCAAGGCUGAAACUUAAAGGAAUUGGCGGGGGAGCACCACAAGGGGUGAAGCUUGCGGUUUAAUUGGAGUCAACGCCGGAAAUCUCACCGGGGGCGACAGCAGGAUGAAAGCCAGAUUAAAGGUCUUGCCAGACGAGCUGAGAGGAGGUGCAUGGCCGUCGCCAGUUCGUGCCGUGAGGUGUCCUGUUAAGUCAGGCAACGAUCGAGACCCGCAUCUCCAGUUGCUACCAGCUUAGUGUUGGGCACACUGGGGAGACCGCCGCCGAUAAGGCGGAGGAA